rnacentral:rRNA from 1 species
AUGGCAAAGCUGAAAGAGGAAGAAGAAAAGUUGUUGCAAGGAGCCGAGAAGAGAAAAUCUAAAUUACUAGGUAAAAAAAUAGCUGCUGAGGACAGGAAGAAAGCAAUACUAGAAGAAAAGAGAAUUGCUGCAGAGGAAAAAAGAAAAGCUAGUGAGGAGAAAAAGAAAAAAGCCCAAGAAGAGAAACUUGCAAUGGCAGAGAAGAGAAGGCAAAGCAUGACCGAAAGAAAAAGAAUUGCGGAAAUAGAAAAACAAAGGAAGGCCGAGGAAAAAAAAGACUUGCUGCUGAGAAGAGAAUGA